CAUUUAAUGGGGGUGGAAUAUUAAUGUCUUUUUAUUAUCGAAAUAUAAAAUUUUAUUUUUCAUAAAAGUCUGUUGCUUAUUUAAACUUAUAUUAAAGCUGUGGGUAUGCCAUUAUAAUUUAUCAUUUCUUAUUUUCAAUUACAGAUGUUAUAAAACUGUGCAGCAUGCCGACAGUGGGAGAGAUCGAAUGUGAAUGGGUGAAUAAGUAACAUCUGUCAAUUAACAGCACACUGUCGCUGAACAUCAGCACACCUAAUGAUGUUGUGAGCACAAUUCGCAACAAUACGGAAAAUAACUGCUUACAGAGGCUACGCUUAUUUUGCAUAGGGACAAAUGGAAAUGAAAGGAAUGCGUACAUGACUUUGCUGGAAAGGACAAAUAUAUGUAUACAUAUGUAUAUGAAUAUAUGCACGAAAUUGUUGCUCGAAAAUAAUGUGAAGUGCUGCCUGGAUGCCUGCGCUAAAACUUCUGAUCGAUCACCUAACAUUAUGACGAUUUAUUUAUUAUGGGCGAUUAGUACCAAUGAGUGGAAGCACGCAAAUGUGAAUAUUUACCAGCGCACUACAGUCGCAUAUGGAAUACCUACAAAAGUGAAAGGGAGCUGUAAACCUUUGUCUGAUAUCAGAAACUCCAAAAAUGCAAGGAAGCUGUAAACUUCUGCCCGAUUUUGGUGCCUCCAAUAAUGAAUGGAAGUUGUAAAUCUUGGACAGAUUUCUGUUGGUAUGAUCGGUCUAUAUUGUUUAAGAUUUAUACAUAAUCUUAGGGACGAGACGAAAUAAAAUUAGCAUUGUGGUGUUAUAGCUCGCAAGCUGACUCCCGUCGAACCGCUUUAUGAUCGAUCACCUGGUCCAAAAUACGAGACAAGCUGUUAAAUGGGAGCGCAUAUGGAAUGAAGUUAUUUAUUGAUCUAAUGAUAAUAUGAUACGUACAUAUGUAUGAACAUACAUAGAUGAUAGUACUUAAGAGGCAAUAAAAUCAUUUUAAGUGGCUAAUAUAUCUAAUAAAAAUCUAUAAAGUCUGUAUUAAUUUCAUUUUUCUUCUAUAAUUAGUGAAAAUCUAAUAAAUUGGUAAGUUGCAAGAUAAUGUCUAGAUUCUAAAUUAAACAUUUAAGAGUGUAUUAGUUUAGAGCCGAAUUUUAUUUUUUCAUCUACGGGAUCCCACAUAUUUUCUAAAUAAUCUGGCGCCAGCCUUGCACCAGGAAAACAGAAAAUAUAGCAAGGAGCCUAUUACACCGGCAACUCAAAGUGUUUGUUGUUGCUAAUUUUUCGUAAAUAUGGGCGAACUGAGUGCUCAUUCUAAACUUGUACUCAAUACAACAACUUCAAAAGGUAUUUGACUAACGGGGCAUAAUUACUACACCUUUGAGAGACGUAGAAAAUUGAAACACAUAAUUUGUUGUUGCCAUUAUGGAAAUGCGUUUGCAUAAGAAUUACACAAGAAAUAGCAAUAAAAUAGAACACUUGCUGAUCGUUAUGAGCGACUGGUGAUUUGUUGAGAAAAUAAUAUUUGAUGUGUGGCGU